rnacentral:rRNA from 1 species
UACGUAGGGUGCGAGCGUUAAUCGGAAUUACUGGGCGUAAAGCGUGCGCAGGCGGUUUGUUAAGACAGAUGUGAAAUCCCCCGGGCUUAACCUGGGAAUUGCAUCUGUGACUGCAUAGCUAGAGUACGGUAGAGGGGGAUGGAAUUCCGCGUGUAGCAGUGAAAUGCGUAGAUAUGCGGAGGAACACCGAUGGCGAAGGCAAUCCCCUGGACCUGUACUGACGCUCAUGCACGAAAGCGUGGGGGAGCAAACAGGG